rnacentral:rRNA from 1 species
AUUGAACGCUGGCGGCAGGCCUAACACAUGCAAGUCGAGCGGCGCGUCGGAAGGGUGGGGACGGCCUAGGAAUCUGCCUGGUAGUGGCGGAUCACGUCCGGGAACGGGCGCUAUGUCCGCAUGCUUUCAGAUGAGUCUAGGUCGGCUGAGCUAGUUGGAGGGGUAAAGGCCUACCAAGGCGACGAUCCGUAGCUGGUCUGAGAGGAUGAUCAGUCACACUGGGACUGAGACACGGUCCAGACUCCUACGGGAGGCAGCAGUGGGGAAUAUUUGGCAAUGGGCGAAAGUCUGAUCCAGCCACGCCGCGUGUGUGAAGAAGGUCUUCGGAUCGUAAAGCUCUGUUGGUUGGGAGGCGUUACCUACCGAGAAAGCACCGGCUAACUACGUGCCAGCAGCCGCGGUAAUAC